UUCAAACAUGAGAGUUUGAUCCUGGCUCAGAACGAACGCUGGCGGCAGGCUUAACACAUGCAAGUCGAG
rnacentral:rRNA from 1 species